AUUUUAAGCUGGGGGAGCCUGUGGCGACAGGCUGAGAGUGCGAUGUUAUCGCUUACCCUUACAACCUGAUACGGUUAAUGCCGGCGUAGGGAAGCUGCAGGUUUAUUUU
rnacentral:ncRNA from 2 species